rnacentral:rRNA from 1 species
UACGUAGGGUGCGAGCGUUAAUCGGAAUUACUGGGCGUAAAGUGUGCGCAGGUGGCCGCGCAAGUCGAGUGUGAAAUCCCCGAGCUUAACUUGGGAAUUGCGCUCGAAACUACGUGGCUCGAGUGUGGCAGAGGAAGGUGGAAUUCCACGUGUAGCGGUGAAAUGCGUAGAUAUCCGGAAGAACACCGAUGGCGAAGGCAACCACCUGGGCCUGUACUGACGCUGAGGUACGAAAGCGUGGGGAGCAAACAGG